rnacentral:rRNA from 1 species
CCUACGGGACGCAGCAGUGAGGAAUAUUGGUCAAUGGGCGAGAGCCUGAACCAGCCAAGUCGCGUGAAGGAUGACGGCCCUACGGGUUGUAAACUUCUUUUGUCAGGGAGCAAUUGAGUCCACGUGUGGGCUUAGCGAGAGUACCUGAAGAAAAAGCAUCGGCUAACUCCGUGCCAGCAGCCGCGGUAAUACGGAGGAUGCGAGCGUUAUCCGGAUUUAUUGGGUUUAAAGGGUGCGCAGGCGGCCUGUUAAGUCAGCGGUAAAGCCCGGGGCUCAACCCCGGCGAUCCGUUGCACCUGGCGGGG